GAGAAAGGAGGAGCGCCACCGCCACGCUCCCUCCCGCGGAGGAAGCUCCGCGCCCUGCGCUCGGGGUCCCCGCACCGCGCUGGGGACCGACGUUCCGUGCCACCCCGCUUUGACAGACAGGACGCAACUUCAUAUCUCAGACAAACUGUCGUCAUAGAACUUUAAGGUGUGCUGUGCUGAAAACACACACGUCAACUGCUUUUACCACCUACAAGCACUUUAUUGACACUGCAGCAUUUCAAGUAUGCACCUGCUGUUCUUCCCUUAAAACUCCUGGAAAAGAGGGCUGGUGUAGUGGGUGGCUGUUCUUGCCAGGCCCUGAAGCACCGCCCCUAGUGAGGUAGCAGGUAACUGUUACACCUGCCUAUGACCUUCAAGUACAUGCCCCUGGGGUAUGGCCACUCGGGACCCUAAAGACCUGGGAUGUGCGUACAUUGCUCUCUCUUCACUACCUUGUAGUUUUGGAGGCUGGGACGGACUAGGACAGAUCUCGCCAGAGAACAGCAUUGGACUGUGCCUCACCCUCCCAGGAUCCUGCGACAAAUUCCUUUAUUCUGUCUUGUGAGUUAACCCCCACAAAUAAAUUCCUUUGCUCAUUAAGCAGA